UCUUUUCGUCAUGUUGGUUUCUCCCAGCUGGGAGCUGUCAGAAACGCUCAGAAGGGGGGGAAAAGGCAGCCUUUCAUCCCCUAAGCUUGUCAUCCUCAGCUUUUUGCCAAUGCUCAGUUCUUUUUUCCUAGGGAAGAUAAAAAAGAAAACACAUGAAAACCCCACAAACAUAAACACAUCAGACACAAUCCUACUUCUUCAAGGCAGAGUCUCAGGAGACUGCCUUCUAAGGGGAAGACAAAGGGAGUUGGACCUUUGUCCAUCUGGGAGCAGGCUCUGCGUGUUUGUUCUUAGGAGACUUGGCACAAAGGCGAAGGUUGGCUCUCCCCCUCCCAAUAAAUGUGGACACACUUUCCGUAGGCCCUGUGUCUGAAGGCAGCACAGUGCAUUUGAGAAGCUGGGAUGCUGGAAACAGCACACUUAGAAUAAGCACCAAAGAGGAUGGCUGAAGCAACUCCCCCACCUUGCCUGACAGAAUUCAUCUAUGAAUAUAGGUACUCCUCCUUCUGUGCCAAGCAUCCAAUCAAUGAAAUGAUAGUUAUUCUUCCCCAUUAGCUUCAUGAAGUCAAAGCCUGCUUUGUUUGGUUCACCACUGUAUUCACCAUUACUAUUGUCCCCAGUAGGUCAUAUUCUCCUAGAAGCAGAGCCUGAGCCAAGGAUUCAAUGCAAGGGAUUUGUUGAGGCAGUGCUCCCGAGAUGUACCAGUGAGGGAGUUGGGGGUGGGGCACAAAUAGGGGAGGAGAGGAGACUCAACAAGUGUAUCAUCUUGGGUGACACCCCAGCCUCAUCUUGGUCUUGAGUGGUGUGCUGAAGCAGAGAUGAUAUCUCAGAGUUUGUCCUCUCCAAGGCACAGGUGCUGGGCUUUUGUAUUCCCACAAUGGUCAGUCACUGGCUGUGGCUUAGGGGGGAUGGGAAGGGCUGAGAAUGAGUUGCCAAGUUGUUCCAGCUCUCCAGGGAAGGCCCCAGUGCUCAGGGGAAACUUAGCAGCAGGGCAUACAGGGGCUGGGCUGGAUGCACAGGGCUGGUAAAAGGCUUCAGAGGGGGUCUGAGCUGGGCACCAUCAGGGUCUGCUGUUUUUCUUUAAUCCAAGAAUUGAGAGAGAGAA
rnacentral:lncRNA from 10 species